CCAUAAAAGCCAAUAAAAGGCCCUCUUCUUCAACCUUCUCCUCCUUUUGGUAGAACUCGAAUUUGUCGGCAAACCCGGUAGAAAAAUCCCGGAUCUUGCUGGUUUUGAGAUUAGAUUCGGCGACUAAGGCAUUCCACUAUCGGAGACAAAAGCAGCUAUCGCGCGCGAACCGCCGUCUAUCGCAACACUGCUGGGGAGCUGGUGUUGGUGGAUGUUGGUAGAAUCGACAGUGAUGAGCAGAAGCAGGUUUUGGAUAAGCUGAUUGCCGCUGUGAAUGAAGAUAUGGAGGGUAUUUUGAGAAGAGUUAGGCAGAGAUUUGAUGUCGUAGGCCUGGAAUUUCCAAAAAUCGAGGUUCGGUUUGAGAAUCUGAAGGUCGAUGCUUUAGUUCAUGUCGGAAGCAAAGCUCUGCCGACUAUACCUAAUUUCAUUUUUGGCAUGACUGAGGCCUUCUUGAGGCAACUCAGAAUUUUCUCUGGUGGAAGAUGAAAAGAAACACCUGCAAAAGAAAAUCAUAUCUAUUGAGUGGACUCAUACGAAAGAGAGGUGAGGAGUCUUGAAAGAGAUACAAUGAUACCCGACGGAGUUGAUAAGAGUUCCACGCCUACAACCAUUGAGAGAACACCAUCACAAAGCCUGCAGUAUAACCAGGUUGAUCAGGUUGAUCGAGUUCCAGAGCUCGUCGCACACGGAGGCCUCCAAUCCGUGUCCAAGACUAAGUAGAGAGUUAGUUAUUUAUAAUUAGUUAUGCUUGUUUAUCUAAUGUAAUAGACUAGGAAGUCGAGCGUAUGUAUAAGCUCUAUCUCGGGUUUUCUUUGUGGUUCUUUCCCGGGAGAUAGGAAGUUGAACCGCCCUAGGGUGUAGAUAUAAAAAGGGAACUUGUCUAACACAUUUAUUAUGAAUGAUAAGAUAUUUCCCAAA